GAUGAAGAACGUAGCGAAAUGCGAUAAGUAAUGUGAAUUGCAGAAUUCAGUGAAUCAUCGAAUCUUUGAACGCACAUUGCGCCAGCCAGUAGUCUGGCGGGCAUGCCUGUUCGAGCGUCAUUUCAACCAUCAAGCCCCCGGCUUGUGUUGGGGACCUGCGGCUGCCGCAGGCCCUGAAAACCAGUGGCGGGCUCGCUAGUCACUCCGAGCGUAGUAAUACAUCUCGCUCAGGGCGUGCUGCGGGUUCCGGCCGUUAAAAAAGCCUUAUUUACCCAAGGUUGACCUCGGAUCAGGUAGGAAGACCCGCUGAACUUAAGCAUAUCAAUAAGCGGAGGA
rnacentral:misc_RNA from 1 species